CUAACCUGUGUGAGUGAAGUGUAAUGCUUGUAGUAAGGACCAAUCAAAAUGCCAAGAAAAAGCAGAAAAAAAUUGGGAGCAAGGCAGUAUGUAAACUACUCUGAAACCAUGCUUGAACGAGCUGUGGAAGCAGUGAGAGGAGGUUUAAGUUCCCGUCAGGCAGAAGAACGUUUUAAGGUGCCACGCCGAACUAUUCU
rnacentral:lncRNA from 1 species